rnacentral:rRNA from 1 species
GACGGAGGAUGCAAGCGUUAUCCGGAAUGAUUGGGCGUAAAGCGUCUGCAGGUGGCAGUUCAAGUCUGCUGUCAAAGACCGGGGCUUAACUUCGGAAAGGCAGUGGAAACUGAACAGCUAGAGUAUGGUAGGGGCAGAGGGAAUUCCUGGUGUAGCGGUGAAAUGCGUAGAGAUCAGGAAGAACAUCGGUGGCGAAGGCAGAUCUCUGGGCCGUAACUGACGCUGAGGAGCGAAAGCAUGGGGAGCGAACAGG